UACGAAGGGGGCUAGCGUUGUUCGGAAUUACUGGGCGUAAAGCGCACGUAGGCGGAUAUUUAAGUCGGGGUGAAAUCCCGGGGCUCAACCCCGGAACUGCCCUUGAAACUGGAGAGCUAGAAUCUUGGAGAGGCGAGUGGAAUUCCGAGUGUAGAGGUGAAAUUCGUAGAUAUUCGGAAGAACACCAGUGGCGAAGGCGACUCGCUGGACAAGUAUUGACGCUGAGGUGCGAAAGCGUGGGAGCAAACAGG
rnacentral:rRNA from 1 species